rnacentral:rRNA from 1 species
AGAGUUUGAUCCUGGCUCAGGAUAAACGCCGGCGGCGUGCCUAAUACAUGCAAGUCGAACGGGAGCAGCAAUGCUCCAGUGGCGUACGGGUGAGUAACACGUUGGUAACCUGCCCCGGAGACCGGAAUACCAGGAGGAAACCCCUGCUAAUGCCGGAUGAUGCCGGAAGGGCGCAAGCCUUUCCGGCCAAAGGCGGCCUCUAAAGCCGCGCCCCGGGAUGGACCUGCGUCGCAUUAGCUAGUUGGCGGGAUAGAGGCCCACCAAGGCUGGGAUGCGUAGCCGAGCUGAGAGGCUGAUCGGCCACAUUGGGACUGAGACACGGCCCAGACUCCUACGGGAGGCAGCAGUGGGGAAUAUUGCGCAAUGGGGGAAACCCUGACGCAGCAACGCCGCGUGAUUGAAGAAGGCCUUCGGGUUGUAAAGAUCUUUAAUCAGGGACGAAACAAAUGACGGUACCUGAAGAAUAAGCUCCGGCUAACUACGUGCCAGCAGCCGCGGUAAUACGUA